GCGGUAGUGGUGGAAUUUGGUAGACACGCUAGCUUGAGGUGCUAGUGGCGGAAACGUUGUGCUGGUUCAAGUCCAGUCUACCGCA
rnacentral:tRNA from 1 species